GAUGAACGCUGGCGGCGUGCCUAAUACAUGCAAGUCGAGCGAACAGACGAGGAGCUUGCUCCUUCGACGUUAGCGGCGGACGGGUGAGUAACACGUAGAUAACCUACCUAUAAGACUGGGAUAACUUCGGGAAACCGGAGCUAAUACCGGAUAAUAUUUCGAACCGCAUGGUUCAAUAGUGAAAGAUGGCUUUGCUGUCACUUAUAGAUGGAUCUGCGCCGCAUUAGCUAGUUGGUAAGGUAACGGCUUACCAAGGCAACGAUGCGUAGCCGACCUGAGAGGGUGAUCGGCCACACUGGAACUGAGACACGGUCCAGACUCCUACGGGAGGCAGCAGUAGGGAAUCUUCCGCAAUGGGCGAAAGCCUGACGGAGCAACGCCGCGUGAGUGAUGAAGGUCUUCGGAUCGUAAAACUCUGUUAUUAGGGAAGAACAAAUGUGUAAGUAACUGUGCACGUCUUGACGGUACCUAAUCAGAAAGCCACGGCUAACUACGUG
rnacentral:rRNA from 1 species